GAUGAACGCUGGCGGCGUGCCUAAGACAUGCAAGUCGAGUGGGUUUAGACCCACGGCGAACGGGUGAGUAAUACCUAGGAACUUUGCUUAAGUUGAGGAUAUCCUCCCGAAAGGGAGAGCAAUACUCAAUGUGGUCGCAAGACCAAAGUCGCAAGACGCUUAAGUUGAGGCCUGGGCCCCAUCAGCUAGUUGGUAAGGUAAUGGCUUACCAAGGCUAUGACGGGUAGCGGAAGCGAGAGCUUGAUCCGCCACACUGGGACUGCGACACGGCCCAGACUCCUACGGGAGGCAGCAGUUUGGUAAUUUUGGUACAAUGGACAAAAGUCUGAUCCAGCGACGCCGCGUGCACGAAGAAGGCCUUCGGUU
rnacentral:rRNA from 1 species